CCUACGGGAGGCAGCAGUGAGGAAUAUUGGUCAAUGUGCGCGAGCCUGAACCAGCCAAGUAGCGUGAAGGAUGACUGCCCUACGGGUUGUAAACUUCUUGUCUCAUGGAAUGAAGUGAGACACGUGUGACUUUUUGUCUGUACUUUAUGCAUAAGGAUCGGCUAACUCCGUGACAUCAGCCUCGGUAAUACGGAGGAUCCGAGCGUUAUCUGGAUUUAUUGGUGUUAAAGGGAGCGUAGAUGGGUUGUUAAGUCAGUGGUGAAAGUUUGCGGCUCAACCGUAAAAUUGCAAUUGAUACUGGCAGUCGUGAGUACAGUUGAGGUAGGCGGAAUUCGUGGUGGAGCGGUGAAAUGCUUAGAUAUCACGAAGAACUCCGAUUGCAAAGGCAGCUUACUAAACUGCCACUGACAUUGAUGCUCGAAAGUGUGGGUAUCAAACAGGAUUAGAUACCCCGGUAGUC
rnacentral:rRNA from 1 species